GCGAGUGAAGCGGGAAGAGCACAAAUUUUAAAUCUACCUGGUUUCCAGGUCGAGUUGUAAUUUGAAGAAGUGUUUUUUACUUUCCGGGUUGGGUUAAAUCCUUUGGGAUAAGGUAUCAUGGAGGGUGAGAAUUCCGUGUAUACCAACCGCAGGAUGUUUAAUAUACACUUUCUAAGAGUCGAGUUGUUUGGGAAUGCAGCUCUAAAUGGGUGGUAAAUUUCACCUAAUGCUAAAUAUAAGCGAGAGACCGAUAGCGAACAAGUACCGUGAGGGAAAGAUGAAAAGAACUUUGAAAAGAGAGUUAAAUAGUACGUGAAAUUGUUGAAAGGGAAACGGUUGAAGUCAGUCAUGCCGGCGGGAAUCAACUUAGGGGAAACUCUGAGUGCACUUCUUCGCUUGGCAGGUUAGCGUCGAUUUUGGAUGUCAUAAAAUGACUGGGAAGGUAGCUUUUUCGGGAGUGUUAAGCCCUUGGUAGAUGUGAUGUCUGGGAUUGAGGAUUGCAACGGAUACCUUUUGGGCUAACCGCCUAGUCUCUAAUACGAAGUUGGGUUACGGACAGCAUGCUGACUGUGAUCUGAUUUUUGGUUAAAAGAUUAGAGCGAGUGUAAAUUCGUUAGGGGCAC
rnacentral:rRNA from 1 species